rnacentral:rRNA from 1 species
GACGAACGCUGGCGGCGUGCUUAACACAUGCAAGUCGAACGGAAAGGCCCUGCUUGCGGGGUACUCGAGUGGCGAACGGGUGGGUAACAAGUGGGUGAUCUGCCCUGCACUUAGGGAUAAGCCAGGGAAACUGGGUGUAAUACCGGAUAGGAGCUAUAUUUAGCGGGAUGGUUGGAAAGUUUUUUCGGUGUUGGCUGAGCUGUCGGCCUAACAGCUUGUUGGAGGGGUAAUGGCCUACCAAGGCGGCGGCGGGAAGCCGGCCAGUGAGGGUGGACGGCCAUACUGACACCGACAGGCGGCCCCGGCUCCUACUGUUGGGCGCAGUGGGGAAUAUUGAACGAUGGGCGCCAGCCUGAUGCAGAGGGUCCGCGGGUGGUAUGACGGUCUUCGGGUUGUAAACUACUUUCGCUAGUGACGAAGCUUUUUUUGACGGUACCUAGACAAGAAGCCCCGGCUAACUACGUG